rnacentral:rRNA from 1 species
AGCGAACGUUAGCGGCGGGCCUAACACAUGCAAGUCGAACGCGAAAGGUCUUCGGACUGAGUAGAGUGGCGCACGGGUGAGUAACACGUAGGUAAUCUACCCUUUGGCGGGGGAUAACGUUCCGAAAGGAGCGCUAAUACCGCAUAAGACCACGGAGUCUCCGGACGCUGUGGGAAAAGGUGGCCUCUUCUUGAAAGCUACCACCGAAGGAUGAGCCUGCGUCCCAUCAGCUAGUUGGUAAGGUAAUGGCUUACCAAGGCGAAGACGGGUAGCUGGUUUGAGAGAAUGAUCAGCCACACUGGCACUGGAACACGGGCCAGACUCCUACGGGAGCAGCAGUGAGAAAUAUUGGGCAAUGGGCAAAGCCUGACCCAGCACGCCGCGUGAGUGAUGAAGGCCCUCGGGUCGUAAAGCUCUGUGGAGAGGGACGAAAACCCUGGUUUCAAAUAGGCUCCAGGCUUGACGGUACCUCUUUAGCAAGCACCGGCUAACUCUGUGCCAGCAGCC